rnacentral:snRNA from 1 species
AGCCUCUCUCUCUUCUUUU